GUGCACACUUCAGCAACACAUGUAUAAAAUUAGAACGAUACAGAGAAGAUCAGCUUGGCCCCUGUGCAAGGAUGACAGACAAUUCGUGAAGCAUUCCAUAUUUUU